CCUUUCAGAGACACUGAACCACCAGCAGCACAAUGAUGAUGUUACUGACUCUACUGCUGACCAUCCUGGAGCUCCUGGUUCAGGGUUCAUCAGGAGACAUCAUCCUGACUCAGACUCCUGGAUCUCAGUCUGUUGUUCAGGGUCAGACUGUCUCCAUCAAAUGUAAAACCAGUUCUAGUAUUUCUAGCAGCCUCCACUGGUACCUUCAGAAACCUGCAGAAGCUCCUAAAUUCCUGAUAUAUGGAGCUACAACUCGUCAGUCUGGAGUUCCAGAUCGUUUCAGUGGAAGUGGUUCUGGUUCUGACUUCACUCUGACCAUCAGUGGAGUUCAGGCUGAAGAUGCAGGAGUUUAUUACUGUCAGCAUGGUUACAACUACCCGUUCACACAGUGA